rnacentral:rRNA from 1 species
GACAGCCAGGAUGUUGGCUUAGAAGCAGCCAUCAUUUAAAGAAAGCGUAAUAGCUCACUGGUCGAGUCGGCCUGCGCGGAAGAUGUAACGGGGCUAAACCAUGCACCGAAGCUGCGGCAGCGACACUAUGUGUUGUUGGGUAGGGGAGCGUUCUGUAAGCCUGCGAAGGUGUGCUGUGAGGCAUGCUGGAGGUAUCAGAAGUGCGAAUGCUGACAUAAGUAACGAUAAAGCGGGUGAAAAGCCCGCUCGCCGG